rnacentral:lncRNA from 1 species
CAAUCAGGAAGCCUAAGACUCCUGCAUUAAAAAGGUUAUGAUUUAACCUUUAUAAAACACAAGUCACUAAUAGAAAUUUGUUGAAACAAUUAGAUUUGACGUUGCAAGGAAUGUUAGCCCAUCCUAAAAAGGAUAAGUGUGAUGUCUGUUACAGUCAUACAUAGUAGGUACCCUCAUCUGCCACAAUCACAUCAAGAAUUUAUAAAGAAAAAACUGUAAUGUAAAAAGAAAGUUAACAUUUUGGUAGACUAAAGCCUAUGUGAAUAACUUUAUUGAGAAGUUAAUUGUUCUGGGUGCAUAACUAACACUUUUCAUAACUAAUUCUCAAAUACAAAACUAUACAUUACAAGUUGAACAAAAAAUGAAUAAAAAUGAAAGCAUCAUAAUUUAUAAACACAUUGUAUCAGUAAUAGUCAAACAAACAUAAGAGCAUCUUGGACUGAUAAGAUUUAUUCAGAAGAUUCCCAUUAAUACUACUGGGACCUUAUUACAGUAAAGCUUCUAAGCAGUAAUGGUAGAAUAAUAUUCCAUAACAAACUACAUCAGGUAAAGUUAAUUGAUUUUGGAGUCUAAAAUAAUUGCAUUUCUAUUCUGUGCCUUCUUAUAUUAACAAAAACAAUAUUUAGGAUCUGAAAAAAAUUAAUCUAAAAAUAUAAACCUUGAUUUAUUUUAUGACUUUCAAAUAAUUUGUUACUAAAUUAAUAUGACAUAUCCAAAACAGUCCUAUCAGAUAUUUAAAGAAUUUUGUGAAGUUUUAAUUAUCCUGACAAUUUUCAACAGCUUGUCAUCUAAUACCAUAGUGUAAUACUCAGUAUUUCCCACUUCCCUGUAAGCUGCCUGAGUUUCUCUCACAUCAGACAAGAGCCCACACUGUAGGUUGGCUUUUGCAACCAGUUAUGAGUUGUUGUAGUGGGUUAUGUAAGGUGAACAAAGGACCUUGUCAGAUACUUAAUUCCCCACUUUCUGACAACAUUCUCAAGGCAGGCAAAAGUCAAAUCCUCAUGCCAUGUUGCCUGUGUUGUGUUACUCCAGCACAGGGACACCUGAAAGAAUCCCAGCAGGGCAGUGAAGCUACUCCAGGCAGAGCCCAUGGGGAUAUGGGGCAAUUCACUCUUCUCAGACCUACUAUUCCAGGUUUUCUUCAGACCUCUAUUUAACUUCAGCACAAUUCAAAUUCAAGUUUAGAGUUUUUCCCUACAUUCAUAGGGAAUGCAGCUAACAAUUUUACAUGUUAAAAGAGGAAAAGAAUUAGGGAAGCCAGUGGUAUAUCAUCAGAUUAUUCAGCCACUGUGGGAAUGUGGGAGAAGAGAGGCAAUGAUUGCCUGUGGGAGUUUUAUCUGUGUAUGGAUCAACCUUUGCAUUUGCCCCUAACAUUUCUGCCACCUUUCUGCAUUGCUUUCUCAUUCCACAUUUCUGUAUUGUUCAAGCAGCCAAUGUCAAACAGUACCUUCUGAAGGUAUUGGAAGCAAUGUGAACAGGGCUACUCUGAACCUGAACUCCAAAGAAAUUCUCAAUUUCAGUAAGAGAGGAAAGCAUUUAUUGUUGUAAAUAUUGUGUUAUUCAGAAAACAGAGGAGCAGCAUUGACUUAAAAUAUUCUUGUCCUGCAUUUGGCAGAUGGACCAUGUCAGUUUGACCUGCACAUGUUCUGUGGGACGCAUUUGGAGCUAGAUCAGGAAACUGAUGCAGGCUGCAUGAAACUGAAAAAAAAACAAAAAAAUUAAAUACUAAAGCUAGAUCAGGCCCAAAAAUUCUCCUUUUUCCAUAUUUAUAGCAAGGGUACAUCCUGCAUCAGAGGUAACUCAGUACUCCUCAAAAGAAACCCAACCUUUCCUCUAUUUUCCUUUUUCUUUAAAUAACUUUCAUAUUCUGUGUAUUUUAUAUGUAAGAAAGGUGUUUUUAAAGUUUUCUGCGCCUUGAAUAUCUUUUCCUUUAUUUCCUAAAAAAAAUUUUCCUGUAGAGACAACCUCCAGGGAUGAGUAAAUUCAGGCAGUUUCUAAGCUAUCUUCUGCCCAGGUUAGAUAUCUCUGGAGCUUUGGGGCUGUGUAUGUACUGCUCAUUACAGUAGCCAUGUAAAUGCUGGUUUAUAGUCUGUUAAUACAUUUGUCUAAUUCUCAUGAAAAGACAUAAAGACCAGCUAUACCUUGUGUGACUGACAAAGUGAAGCUUAUCCUUUUAUGAUUAAUCUUAUUAUCUCUAAUAAUGGCUUCAAAACUGCUGCACAAAUACAGAUAUAAUAUUAAAUUAACUCCAUACAGCACAUCUUAAUCCCAGUUUAACACACCCUUCUAGUAGGAAAAGAAAUCCUAUUAAUUUGUGGAAACUUUGUGACAGACAGAAAAAGGUGUUGUUUUAAUUCAAAUCCUCCUCCUUUUCCACAUAAGACCUAAAAAGGAACAGAGAACACGGGCAAAUCUACAAUUCAGUAAUCCACUGGCCCACCAAACACUUCUGAGAAAUUUUACCCCAAAACAAAAACUUUACAUUUGCUGUGUGAAGUUCUCACAGACUUUUUGAGCAUUGAUGCCAUGCCUGCACCCCUAGCAGUGUGUUAUAGUUUUACCAUAGCUAAAACUAUUUCUUUGGCUGUUUAGUCUGUGAAUCAUGAAAGCUUUAUUGCUACCAACUACAUAAUUUUGUACACAUUUAUUCUGCAGAAUAGUAAGCUUAUAUUUUAAAUGAAUCUUUGAGAAACUUUUAUCUGGUUUUGAUUUUGACCUAACAUUUUAAUUUCCAGUCAGGUCAUUUUAGAAGGCAAAUGAUUGGCAAAUUUCUAUAUUUUAGUACUUUAUUUAAGUUUUAUCAUUGAUAUAAAUUAUUAUAAUUUCCCAUAAAUUCACAAAAAUAAAAAGUAUUGAGAUGUAAUCUCUUUUUGAGAAAAUUUGAAAGUUUUAGGAUCACAUUUCAAUUUCUCAAAAUCUUUUCAUUGCAUUCCUACUUUGUAACCUAAAUUACCUAAAAAUUACAACAGAGUUACUUCUUAGCAGGAAUGAAAGGAGCAAGUUACUCUCUUUGACAUACAAACAAGUCCCUUUCUUUUAUAUGCAAACAAACAAAAAUCCAGAUCCAAACAAAGCUCUCUCAGCUACAGUUCUUAGAGACAACAAGUAAUUUUGUUAGUUUUCCCCUGCCUCCCUCCAAGGAAACAGGGAGAUCAUUAGUUCUACAGUCAGCAGCUGAACCAGUUAAUCUGACUUCAGACCUUACUGAUCACAUCCCUUGUGCUCAGUAAACCCCAGACUGCACAAGAUAUAUCACCUUUUCUUUCUUACUAGGACUCAGAAGCCAGGCCAGAACAUUAUUCCUAAUACAAACAUUCAUUUUUAGUCUGACCAUGCACCUCUGUGAGUAUUUUGAUCCAAAAUGCAUGGCCUUAUAAGAAAGGGAAGACAGAACAUAGGUCAGUAAUGAAAGCUACAUAUUAUUUUUA